rnacentral:rRNA from 1 species
UACGGAGGAUGCAAGCGUUAUCCGGAAUUAUUGGGCGUAAAGCGUCCGCAGGUGGCGAUGUAAGUCUGCUGUUAAAGAGUGAGGCUCAACCUCAUAAGAGCAGUGGAAACUACAUAGCUAGAGUACGUUCGGGGCAGAGGGAAUUCCUGGUGUAGCGGUGAAAUGCGUAGAGAUCAGGAAGAACACCAGUGGCGAAGGCGCUCUGCUAGGCCGUAACUGACGCUGAGGGACGAAAGCUAGGGGAGCGAAUGGG